UUGAGAUCGUUCCGGAGGUAGAUAAUGAUAGAUAAAAUGUUUCAGAAAUCGGUCAAUACAACCAGUAUCAUAAACUUUAUCGUGAUAACAUUAAUGAGCUACUUCAUGUAUAUAUACGUGCUUUAACGUGAUAUAGGAGUACUAAUUUAACAGUAGACAGCAAUGGCUACAGUGAGAACAUUCAAGCUAGAAGGUUUGGUACCUGCGGUGUUUACACCGAUGACUCCUGAAGGAGAAGUAGAUUAUGACAAGAUUGAUAUGUACUGUCAGCAUUUGUCAAAUAACGGGAUAACGCAGAUAUAUGGUGAGUAAUUUGGGGAGGAAAACUUCAAG
rnacentral:lncRNA from 1 species